GUGAAGUAUUGCUACCAGUAGGGUGUAGCGCAGGUUCAACAGCGAGAGCAGAGCCAGCGUCUUUCACCGCCAGCUCGAAGACUUGAAUUAUUUUUCGGGUUAUUUGUUUAGUUUUCUGACCAUCAUGCUAAUCCGGGGUUCUCCUAUCUUCCUCCACCUGACUGGUGGUGUUGAAGGUGGAGGUUUACAGGCUGAGGAGAUCCAACCUGGGAGGAUCAGAGACAUUAUUGAUCUGCAGAAUCUGAAUCUGGGGUCAGAAACCAACGCUGGGUUCUCUACAAUGUGUCUAAAAUUGUUUAAUAUUCAACGCCCGACUCAUGAACAGGUGUCCCCUUGUUCCAUCAGGAAACUUCAUCUCGGGAUUUCCAGCAGGGUUUUUUUGUGUCGCCUCUGUUCUUGUGUCUUCUCUCUCCUGAUUGGUCCAGUGCUGUUGUCUUGUCUCAUUGAUGCUGGAGAAUCAUCAC